AAAUAGAACUUUGCAGAGAGAGUUAACAGGGCGUGAAACCGUUAAUUGGCAAACGAAUCGGAGCCACGAAGUCGUUUCGCUGAUUAGUUGGGCCGAGUUCAGCUUGGAACGAAAGUAUCCGAGUGUAUUCUCGUCAGUCCAACCAUCUUUGUAAGCGUACACUGCAACCAGUUAGACGAUUGGUGAUGGGCACAGUUAGGAGACGAUUCGUCGUCUUUUAACGAAGCACUUGUUUACCCGGGUUAGUAGUAGCGUGGUGUUCAGCAAUGUUCGCCAUGUUGCUGGAUUCGUGGUGAGUGAACUAUUACCAAAUACUGACUGGCAAAAUGAAAAUCGCACCUAGUGUGCGUAGCACAAAACGCAGCUAACUGCAUUGGGGUUUACAUGUUUGACCAUGGGGUUUUAAGCUCAGCAUUCUUGAAUUUGGACUUGCUAGCUACCAGUGGGGCAACUCCUGGUGCUAGUAUAGCUUCCAUCUAAUCGGGUGUUGACUUGAUUCUAUGUUGUUUGAGCAUGCUACGAUCGAAUUCCAAUGCAAGCUAGUUCGCAAUUUGAUUGGCAGUGAGUAGGUCGGCUUUCCGAACGACCCGUCUUGAAACACGGACCAAGGAGUCUAAUUAGGCAUCGAGUCGAUCGGUCUUGAAUAGGCCAGACUGUGUGGUGUUAAAGCCAUACGAUUGAAGGCGUAGAGAAAUCAAAUCAUGUGAUCGUGGGGCCAACAACAGGCCUCACGCGCAACAUGUGCCUGUUCGUAUAACAAUGUUACUCACGUAACUUGUUGGGCGGAGCAAGGAGAUGCCUGAUUGGUACC
rnacentral:rRNA from 1 species